rnacentral:rRNA from 1 species
GCAAGGAAUCUUCCGCAAUGGGCGAAAGCCUGACGGAGCAACGCCGCGUGCGGGAUGACGCCUUUCGGGGUGUAAACCGCUUUUCUUCAGGAAGAACGUCCCUUCGGGGGCUUGACGGUACUGGAGGAAGAAGGACCGGCUAACUACGUGCCAGCAGCCGCGGUAAUACGUAGGGUCCGAGCGUUGUCCGGAGUUACUGGGCGUAAAGCGCGCGCAGGCGGCGGUGUAAGCAUGGCGUGAAAGCCCCAGGCUCAACCUGGGAGGGUCGUCGUGGACUGCACCGCUUGAGGGCGGUAGGGGCUGGUGGAAUGCCUGGUGUAGUGGUGAAAUGCGUAGAGAUCAGGCGGAACACCCGUGGCGAAGGCGGCCAGCUGGGCCGUCCCUGACGCUGAGGCGCGAAGGCGUGGGGAGCGAACGGGAUUAGAAACCCGUGUAGUCC